rnacentral:rRNA from 1 species
GACGAACGCUGGCGGCGUGCCUAAUACAUGCAAGUUGAGCGCUGAAGGUUGGUACUUGUACCGACUGGAUGAGCAGCGAACGGGUGAGUAACGCGUGGGGAAUCUGCCUUUGAGCGGGGGACAACAUUUGGAAACGAAUGCUAAUGCCGCAUAAAAACUUUAAACACAAGUUUUAAGUUUGAAAGAUGCAAUUGCAUCACUCAAAGAUGAUCCCGCGUUGUAUUAGCUAGUUGGUGAGGUAAAGGCUCACCAAGGCGAUGAUACAUAGCCGACCUGAGAGGGUGAUCGGCCACAUUGGGACUGAGACACGGCCCAAACUCCUACGGGAGGCAGCAGUAGGGAAUCUUCGGCAAUGGACGAAAGUCUGACCGAGCAACGCCGCGUGAGUGAAGAAGGUUUUCGGAUCGUAAAACUCUGUUGGUAGAGAAGAACGUUGGUGAGAGUGGAAAGCUCAUCAAGUGACGGUAACUACCCAGAAAGGGACGGCUAACUACGUG